AUUGAACGCUGGCGGCAUGCCUUACACAUGCAAGUCGAGCGGCAGCGCGGGGGCAACCCUGGCGGCGAGCGGCGUACGGGUGAGUAAUGCAUCGGAACGUGUCCUCUUGUGGGGGAUAACCAGUCGAAAGACUGGCUAAUACCGCAUGAGAUCGCAAGAUGAAAGCAGGGGACCCGCAAGGGCCUUGCGCGAGAGGAGCGGCCGAUGCCCGAUUAGCUAGUUGGCGGGGUAACGGCCCACCAAGGCGACGAUCGGUAGCUGGUCUGAGAGGACGACCAGCCAAAAGGGGACUGAGACACGGCCCAGACUCCUACGGGAGGCAGCAGUGGGGAAGUGUGGACAAUGGGGGCAACCCUGAUCCAGCCAUGCCGCGUGCAGGAUGAAGGCCUUCGGGUUGUAAACUACUUUUGUACGGAACGAAAAGCCCUGGGUUAAUACCCUGGGGUCAUGACGGUACCGUAAGAAUAAGCACCGGCUAACUACGUGCCAGCCGCCGCCGUAAUAC
rnacentral:rRNA from 1 species